rnacentral:misc_RNA from 1 species
ACAUAAUAAGCUAUUAGAAAACUAAUUCCAUAUACACCAAGGAACUCUUUGUAACAUUUCGAUGAAGAACUUUAACUUAAGGUGAAGACGAAGAAAGAAAAUAUAUAUAUGAAACGCUCGACAUAGGCGAUUGAUGUUUUAUUCACGAUGAUAACUCAACUCCCGUCAUCAGACUGCAGACUUCUCAUCGACUGAAUGCCA